GUAGUCUGCAACCCGACUACAUGAAGCUGGAAUCGCUAGUAAUCGCGGAUCAGAAUGCCGCGGUGAAUACGUUCCCGGGUCCUUGUACACACCGCCCGUCACACCAUGGGAGUCGGAAAUGCCCGAAGUCAGUGACCCAACCGUAAGGAGGGAGCUGCCGAAGGUGGAGCCGGUAACUGGGGUGAAGUCGUAACAAGGUAAC
rnacentral:rRNA from 1 species